rfam:Hordeum vulgare subsp. vulgare, WGS project CAJW01000000 data, contig: morex_contig_1567103
AAUGUACUCCCUCCGUCCGGAAUUACUUGUCGGAGAAAUAGAUGUAUCUAGACGUAUUUUACUUCUAGAUAGAUCUAUUUUUAUACAUUUCUGCGACAAGUAAUUCCUGACGCAGGGAGUAUUCU